GAUGAACGCUGGCGGCGUGCCUAAUACAUGCAAGUCGAGCGAACAGACGAGGAGCUUGCUCCUCUGACGUUAGCGGCGGACGGGUGAGUAACACGUGGAUAACCUACCUAUAAGACUGGGAUAACUUCGGGAAACCGGAGCUAAUACCGGAUAAUAUAUUGAACCGCAUGGUUCAAUGGUGAAAGACGGUUUUGCUGUCACUUAUAGAUGGAUCCGCGCCGCAUUAGCUAGUUGGUAAGGUAACGGCUUACCAAGGCAACGAUGCGUAGCCGACCUGAGAGGGUGCUCGGCCACACGAGAACUAGAACAGGGACCAGACUCCUACGGGAGGCAGCAGGAGGGAACGUUCCGCAAGGGGCGAAAGCCUGACGGAGCAAGGCCGAGGGAGUGAUGAAGGUCUUCGGAUCGUAAAACUCUGUUAUUGGGGAAGAACAAAUGUGUAAGUAACUAUGCACGUCUUGACGGUACCUAAUCAAAAAGCCAGGGCUAACUCCGUG
rnacentral:rRNA from 1 species